rnacentral:lncRNA from 10 species
GCCGCACGCUCGGCCCCGCUUCCUCCCGGGCCCGCUCCGCAGGCAGCUGCGACUCCAGCAGCUCCAGCUUUCUCCCACUGCCCUCCUCCGGACACCCAGAUCCUCCUCUCCCCACUGCCAUCCCAAGUGGCGGAGGCGGACAUUUCCCUGAAACUCUGCGUCCGCUGGGGAGGCGAUCCCUGGAGAAGGAGAGCAUCCUCUCCAAGGCUCAAAGCCACACUCUCUCUGGGAGUGGUCUAUCCGCUCCCUGGGCCGGGAGUCCGUCGGGGGAGAGCCACCUGGUCAUCCCCUUUGUCCUCCUCUUCUCCCUCCCUUCCCGCCUAGCGAGGGCCGCAACAGGUGCAGAAGGCGCGGCCGCACAAUAACCCGGCGGAGCUAAGGGGCUGUGAGCUGCGGCCGGCGCUGGAGGAUCGCACAGUACCUGCUCGGAAUGCUCGCUCCGCCACUAGCUGCAAAACUCCAAGCGAGCCAGCCAGCUUCUCCGAGGCGGUUCUCUCGUCCGCAAUACGUGGGUGAUAAUGUAUCGGCGGCUUAGGGAUGUUGGGAAAACUAAGAGUUCACGUAGCAAAGCACUUAGCGAGGCGCGGAGCUCGUGGCAGGCGCUCUCCUACGGUGGGGUGGAGGGCUACGGGAACACCAGGCGACCUCCUCAAAGGGACCAGUGAGCCGAGAUUUGGAGUCUAAGACGCGUGGCCAGAGCCCAGUGUCUGCCGAUGAGCACUCACUCCUUGGCGAGUGAAAUCAAGCAUCUCCUUUCUCUCUGUUCUCCAUCAUUUCCUCCCGGCUCUCCUUCCCUUUAUUGAUCCGGGUCCUGCGGCAGAAAGCAGCGAGCGGAGGGAGAACUUGGCCCGGAGUCUGCGUCUGGCGCUGGGGAGCGGGGACUGAGCCCGGAACACCGACGGGGCGGCUGCGCCAACAACCACUGCGGACGCAGGGCGGGUACGAGAGGCUGAGAGGCUGCGUCCCGCCAUCCAGCCUCGCUCCAGCCGGGAGGAUCCGGCUCUUUAAGACGAUACCCUUAACCCUGCAGUCGCCCGGAACAGGUCCUGCCCCUGCCUGGGGAGGGAAAACCCCCACAGCAGUCCCGCGCCCCUUCCUCCCUAGCGUCGAGGAUCCAGCUGGAGAGACCUGUGCGAGGAAACCGAGCCGGAGCCAGCAGAUCCUGUUCCGACCUCGCCUCAUUACUUUUGUUACUCCAGCUGCCAGCAGAGCACGCUUUGUCCCUCCCGUGUGCUAUCAUUCAUUAACAAGACUCAGGCGGGCUUUAGUUUUUUAGUAUAGAACUCAAUGGUCUGUGUGCGAUGGUAAAUAUCACCCCCGGAUAUGUUGUUCCCACUCUGUCUCUCUCUUCAUGAGGAAACUAUACAGACAUAGGUCUAAUGUUAUCUCCAUUUUACAGAUGGGAAAACUGAGUCAUGGGGACAGGCUGCAGAUUUGAAGAAAGUCUCAAGACAACCAGGUCUCUCUUCUCUGCUCUAGGUUCAAUUUGGCCAAUUGACCUUUAAAUGUGAGCUCUUGGCAACCUGGUCUAGUGGCUGAGGCAGGGGGUAAGCUGUAGUCAAAAGUCCUCUUCCCUAACCCUGGCAACAUAGACACUCAUCUCUACCAAAAAAAAUUUUUAAAUUAGCCAGGCAAGGUGGUACACCUGUAGUGCAAGCUAUUAAUACUUGGGAGGCUGAGGCGGAAGGAGUCCUUGAGCCCAGGAGUUCAGGGCUGCAAUGUACCAUGAUCACACCACUACACUCCAGCCUGGACAUCAGAAGAAAAAAACUCCUUCCCUGUUCUGAGUUGCUCAUAGCCAUGGUCCCUAGAACAUUAACUGGAUAAUGUGGAGAGUGUGUCUUGAGAGCCUUUGUUAUAGGUGAGAUACCCCCACGGAAGCUAGGGUAUUUUGCAGGGUAUUGUUGGAAGGUAGUCCUGCAAAGUUAGUUAUCCUGCCUAGAAAAAAAGAAAAACCCGGCCGGGCGCAGUGGCUCACACCUGUAAUCCCAACACUUUGGGAGGCCGAGGCGGGCGGAUCACCUGAGGUCAGAAGUUCGAGACCAGCCUGACCAACAUGGAGAAACUCCAUCUCUACUAAAAAUACACAAAAAAUUAGCUGGGCGUGGUGGCGCAUCCCUAUGAUCCCAGCUACUCGGGAGGCUGAGGCAGGAGAAUCGCGUGAGCCUGGGAGGCGGAGGUUGUGGUGAGCCAAGAUCGCACCAUUGCACUCCAGCCUGGGCAACAAGAGUGAAACUCCUUUGCAAAUAAAUAAAUAAGUAAAUGAAAAACCUGUGUUUUACAGGUUCAACAAAUCAACAUCUAUUUUUUAACUGCCAAGGCUAUGAAACCAUUUAGGUUUUAUUGCUAGUUGGUUAGAGUGCCCUCCUGUGUCUCCACAUUAAAAUAACAUGCGAGAAUUUUCAAAGGACAUCAUGAAAUUAUAAUUGUAGCAUUAGAAUGUAUGAUGUCAACUGUUCUGCUUCAUCCUUCCCAAGAACAAGGAGAUCUGAAGAGCCUCUCGCCUGGAGGAGUUCCAGCUGAGGAGUCUUGAUGGAACUUCUGCUGUGUUGCAGUCAAAAUUUCAAGGUCUCAGACAACACAAGGAAAGGGUUCCAUCCUUAUGUGGCAGCCCAGCAUCUAAAGACCCUUCCAAUGUUAAAGGAAUAAAUCUUCUGCUUAUGAUAAGACCCAACUCUCCACUAAAAAAAAGCUCAAAAGCAAUUGCUCACCUUCCCAGCCCCAGCCUCUCUUGCAGCUAGAGUCCCCGAUUCAAACUCAGUCAACUGAACUCUGAACUGGAAACUAAUGAGGCUGGAAGCACAUACCCACGCCACUCUGCCAAUGGACAGCCAGCUCUGGUUCUCUGGGGCAGCAGUGGAGUCACCCCCAGACUAGUCUGCAGUGGGAUUUGGGACAUUGCUGUCUGCCUGAGUAUAUCCUCCAAGCCUGGUUCUUCUGCCCUGCAGAUUCCAGUUGUUACCCAAUAUUCUCUUAAUGAGGUCCUCUUUUACAUACAUUAUCCAGAGACUGUUUAUAUUCUUACAACCAAGAAAAUGACUUAAUUGCCAGAAGCUUAUUGAGCAGCUGCUAGGGAGGAAACACUGGCCUGGAGACCAUGCCUGUGCUCUCACAGACACAAUACAGAAAGUUACAAGUGCCAGAAGGCUGGCUGGCUAGAGUACAGUGGUGUGAUCUCAGCUCACUGCAACCUCCACCUCCAGGGUUCAAGCAAGUCUCCUGCCUCAGCCUCCCAAGUAGCUGGGAUUACAGGUACGCACCACCACACCAAGCUAAUUUUUGUAUUUUUAGUAGAGGUGGGGUUUCACUGUGUUAGCCAGACUAGUGUUGAACUCCUGACCUCAGGUGAUCCACCUGCCUCGGCCUCUCAAAGAGUUGGAAUUACAGGCGUGAGCCACCAUGCCUGACCUUAUUUUCUUUUAUGUUUUUGUAGAGACAGGGUCUCGCUAUGUUGCUCAGGCUGGUCUCAAACUCCUGGGCAAACGAUCCUCCUGACUGGGCCUCCCAAAGCACUGAGAUUACAGGUGUAAGCCAUGGCACCCAGCCUCUAAUUCCAAGAUCGGUGCUUUUCCCAUGGCCUCUCCCCAUUCAAAUACAGAAAAGAUGAUGAAGGACUGAGAGGACCAGACUUAGUAGAAGACCUGAAAAAAAAAACAUACCAUUGCCUGAAAAAACUAAUACAAACAUGACCCCUUCAAAUACUCACUGAAUACCUACCACAUUUCUGGCAUUGUUCUAGGUGCUGUAGAAAACUCAAAAAGAAAUGACAAAUAUAAAUGAAUGCACAGUUUACUCAACUCUGAAUUCCAAGUGCAGAGAAGAGAAAAAGUAUUAAGUGAAGCAAAUUGAUAGGACAGACCAUUAGAGGCAGAUGGAAUCUCACUCUGUUGCCCAGGCUGGAGUGCAAUGACGCGAUCUUGGUUCACUGCAACCUCCAUCUCCCAAGUUCAAGUGAUUCUCCUGCCUCAGCCUCUCAAGUAGCUGGGAUUACAGGUGUGCACCGCCAUGCCCAGCUAAUUUUUGUAUUUUUAGUAGAGACAGGGUUUUACCAUGUUGGUCAGGCUAAUCUCGAACUCCUGACCUCGUGAUCUGCUCACCUUGACCUCCCAAAGUGCCGGGAUUACAGGCAUGAGCCACCACACCCAGCCAGGACCCCUACUUUCUAUAUUUCUUACUUCUAUAUUUCAGUCCUUGUGGACAAACCAUAACCUAACUUAGUAGGUAGACAAGAUCGAAUGUUGUGGGAAGUCAGGAACCCUGAACAGAGGGACCAGCUGAAGCCACGGCAGAAGAACAUAAAUUGUGAAGAUUUCAUGGACAUUUAUUACUUCCCCAAAUUAAUACUUUUAUAAUUUCUUAUGCCUGUCUUUACUGCAAUCUCUGAACAUAAAUUGUGAAGAUUUCAUGUACACUUAGCACUUCCCCAAUCAAUACCCUUGUGAUUUCCUAUGCCUGUCUUUAUUUUAAUCUCUUAAUCCUGUAAUCUUCGUAAGCUGAGGAGGAUGUAUGUCACCUCAGGACCCUGUGAUGAUUGCAUUAACUGCACAAAUUGUUUGUAGAGCAUGUGUGUUUGAACAAUAUGAAAUCUGGGCACCUUGAAAAAAGAACAGGAUAACAGCAGUGUUCAGGGAACAAGAGAGAUAACCUUCAACCCUGACUGCCGGUGAGCUGGGUGGAACAGAGCCAUAUUUCUCUUCUUUCAAAAGCAAAUGGGAGAAAUAUCGCUUAAUUCUUUUCCUCAGCAAGGAACAUCCCUGAGAAAGAGAAUGCGUCCCUGAGGGUCGGUCUCUGAAAUGGCUGCUUUAGGGGUGGCUUCUUUUACGGUUGCAGCUGUAGGGAUGAAAUAAGCCCCAGUCUCCCUUAGCGCUCCCAGGCUUAUUAGGACAAGGAAAUUCCCACCUAAUAAAAUUUUGGUCAGACCGGUUCUCUGCUCUCAAACCCUGUCUCCUGAUAAGAUGUUAUCAAUGACAAUGCCUGCCCGAAACUUCAUUAGCAAUUUUAAUUUUGCCCUGGUCCUGUGGUCCUGUGAUCUCGCCCUGCCUCCAUUUACCUUGUGAUAUCUUAUUACCUUGUGAAGCAUGUGAUCUCUGUGACCUACACCCUAUUCGUACACUCCCUCCCCUUUUGAAAAUCGCUAAUAAAAACUCACUGGUUUUAUGGCUCAGGGGGCAUCAUGGAACCUGCCAACAUCUGAUGUCUCCCCCAGACACCCAGCUUUAACAUUUUUCUCUUUUGUACUCUUUCCCUUUAUUUCUCAGACCGGCUGACACUUAGGGAAAAUAAAAAAGAACCUACGUGACUAUCGGGAGCAGGCUCCCACAAUAUUUGAAAACCUAAUUUAGGAGUAUGUGCCUAUAACAAUAGCUGAGUCUUGGCCAAUCCCAGCAGCCACACUUCAACCACUCAUAGGCUGCUGAGUGUUCAAACUGUUCAAAUAAGGCAAACACCAACCUGUAACUAAUCCAGUUGUUUCUGUACCUCCCUUCUGAUUUCUGUACGUCACUUUCCUUUUUUUGCCUGUAAAUUUGUUCUGACCAUGAGGCAUCCCUAGAGCCUCUCUGAAUCUGCUGUGAUUCUGAGGGCUGCCUGAUUUCGCGAAUCAUGAUUGCUCAAUUAAACUCCUUUAAAUUUAA